UCAAACGUUUCUAAAGUUUUUCCCGUGAUCCGCGAUUUCUCAAAAGAUUAGCUAGUUUCCCCCAAGUGCCGAUUAUUCGUUAUAGUGUGAGCCAAGAAAAGUUAAGAAAGCCGUUCGACGGCUUUAUGUUUCGGAUACAGGCACCUCGUGAAACAACCGUCGUGAACAUCCACCAGGCAAGCCGCCGGCCCACAUCCAUCGGUGGCCGAAGGGGCCGCGCCGUUCAUAUCGCGCCCAACAUCAUCCCGCAUCUACGUCCACGUAAGUGAGUGAUCCCACCUGUGAACCUACGUAGUGCGAACCGUAACCGGGGCCGUUUUGAAUCCCCAAGCCGGUCUGCCGUCGAUAAGCUUAACAGCAUCGGCGGUCAAGUUUAAAGUCUUUGGACCACCACGUGAUCGGGAAUCAACUCACCAGCAAGACCGCUUAACGCUGUAGGGGAAUUGAUCAACGCGUUUCCUGCUUCUUUUCCCACGCCGGCGAACAAUAGCGGUUCCCACGCUAUCUGGAGCAAAGCCAAGCCGACGGACAAAGGGACCCAAGCCACGCCGUCGGACAAUAGAGGAAGGUGAGCGAACAAUGCCGGCCCGCCGACAAUAGAAUGCGGAAGCGUAAAGCGUGAGUAACAUGUGCACAUGUGACGUCAUUGGUAGAGUGUGAAAGUGUAGGGUAGA